GAAUAGACUACCCCGGUAGUCCACGCCGUAAACGAUGUGUGCUAGUUGUUGGGGACCGUCAGGUCUCGGCGACGCAGAGAAAUCUAUAAGCACACCGCCUGGGGGAGUACGGCCGCAAGGUUAAAACUCAAAGGAAUUGACGGGGGACCCGCACAAGCGGUGGAGCAUGUUGUUUAAUUCGAAGCAACGCGAAGAACCUUACCUACUCUUGACAUACCUCUUAGGACUUUCAGAGAUGAUUGUCUUCGGUUCGGCCGGGGAGGAUACAGGUGCUGCAUGGCUGUCGUCAGCUCGUGUCGUGAGAUGUUGGGUUAAGUCCCGCAACGAGCGCAACCCUUGUCCUUAGUUGCCAUCAUUCAGUUGGGAACUCUAAGGAGACCGCCGGUGACAAACCGGAGGAAGGUGGGGAUGACGUCAAGUCAUCAUGGCCUUUUAUGGCCAGGGGCUACACACGUGCUACAAUGGCAGAUACAGAGGGUGGCCAACCGGGCGACGGGGAGCCAAUCCCAGAAAAUCUGUCUUAGUCCGGAUUGCAGUCUGCUAACCG
rnacentral:rRNA from 1 species